AAACCGACCCCGCUUCUUAUGUGGCCCCCAGAAGGAAAAGUUUGGGGAACCCUGAGUUAAACUAGCAGCAAAGACAAAGAUUGAAACAAAGGAAAAGUGGGAAUUCGCAGCAGUCGUCUUCAGUCCAGGACGCAUUUCUUCAUAAAUGUUUUUUUCAGGAUUUUAUUUCAAAAACACAACGUGCGGAUUUUUCCCAGCGACACAAACCGAACGUCAGUUUGUCAGCCGGGAAUCCGACGAACCAUCUGACAAUUUCCUUCAAGCCGGCGGAGUUUAGAGAUGAGAAGCUCUCAGCGCGGAAUCAGAGAAACAUCAGAAACCCGACAGCUUCACAGUCAGCCGAGUCAGAUCCUGACAGGCCGCUCCGCCGAGCUCCCGGCGCCCUGCGCGCCUUGAUCCGAGGUCGUCGGGGAUCAGGCAGGAAGCUCCCGCGGCGAUCCAUUGAUCAACCCGCAGGUGACCGCGGAGCGGCGCGGCGAGGAGCCCGGGGUGCCGGGUCACAUCACAUGUUGGUUCUCGCCGUUUUGCUUCAGCAACACGCACAGGUUUGAAAACAAAUCCAUAAAAAUGCGAAAUCCUUCCAUCUUCACGCCUCCUCUGACCUCCCACCACAGAAGUGAAGAAGUCUCCUUUCCUAAAAAGGCACCAGUGACCCACUAAAGGCUCGGGGACUCUCUCAGAUCGCGUCAGUCCAAUAGAAGCUCAUCUGCCAGCCAUCAUAAAACACCUCCAUAAAACAGCUGGUUGGAAGCCGCAGGAUUUCACACCAGAAACAACAACCACAAGCGGAGCUUCACUUCGGAGCAUCGGAGGAUAUUUUUAAUGUUCGCUGAGGUUUUUCCAUUAAAGCAAAAGCAUGCCGGACCAUUUUGCAUAAAUCUAAUUAUUUUGCAUGCAAUUGGAUUAUGUUGUGCAAUCACAAACGGCCUCACGGUUUAUUGCUUUUGCGGCAAAGCCAGAUUAAAAAACAAAAAUACUUGUCUGAAAAAAAAUAAAAACAAUAAA